GUCAGAAAAAGGCAAACCUAUUGAAAAAUGGGGACGCAAAGCCGUGGAUCUAAGGUAGAAAUGCUAUGAUAGCCGGGCUGCCUGA
rnacentral:ncRNA from 1 species